AUCCUAAUGCAGAGCACUUAUUGGAUAUUUAAGAAGCAAAAGUGCCCUCUGUUAGGAUGA
rnacentral:pre_miRNA from 1 species